rnacentral:rRNA from 1 species
AGUGAACGCUGGCGGUAGGCCUAACACAUGCAAGUCGAACGGCAGCACAGAGGAGCUUGCUCCUUGGGUGGCGAGUGGCGGACGGGGGAGGAAUACAUCGGAAUCUACUCUGUCGUGGGGGAUAACGUAGGGAAACUUACGCUAAUACCGCAUACGACCUACGGGUGAAAGCAGGGGAUCUUCGGACCUUGUGCGAUUGAAUGAGCCGAUGUCGGAUUAGCUAGUUGGCGGGGUAAAGGCCCACCAAGGCGACGAUCCGUAGCUGGUCUGAGAGGAUGAUCAGCCACACUGGAACUGAGACACGGUCCAGACUCCUACGGGAGGCAGCAGUGGGGAAUAUUGGACAAUGGGCGCAAGCCUGAUCCAGCCAUACCGCGUGGGUGAAGAAGGCCUUCGGGUUGUAAAGCCCUUUUGUUGGGAAAGAAAUCCAUCUGGUUAAUACCCGGGUGGGAUGACGGUACCCAAAGAAUAAGCACCGGCUAAUUUCGUGCCAGCCGCCGCAGUAA